rnacentral:rRNA from 1 species
UUGGAGGGCAAGUCUGGUGCCAGCAGCCGCGGUAAUUCCAGCUCCAAUAGCGUAUAUUAAAGUUGUUGCAGUUAAAAAGCUCGUAGUUGAAUUUCGAGAUCAGUACGCUGGUCGUGCCUUCGGUAUGCACUGGUGUCACUGGUUUCUCCCUUCUGAAGACCGUCAUGUCAUUAAGUUGGUGUGGCGGGGAAUCAGGACUGUUACUUUGAAAAAUUAGAGUGUUUAAAGCAGGCUCGCGCUUGAAUACAUUAGCAUGGAAUAAUGAAAUAGGACGUUUGACCCUAUUUUGUUGGUUUCUAGGAUCGACGUAAUGAUUAAUAGGGAUAGUUGGGGGCAUUAGUAUUCAAUUGUCAGAGGUGAAAUUCUUGGAUUUAUUGAAGACUAACUACUGCGAAAGCAUUUGCCAAGGAUGUUUUCAUUAAUCAAGAACGAAAGUUAGGGGAUCGAAGACGAUCAGAUACCGUCGUAGUCUUAACCAUAAACUAUGCCGACUAGGGAUCGGAUGAUGUUAAUUUUUAAUGACUCAUUC